rnacentral:lncRNA from 1 species
CAGCAAUAAAUGUGUAGUAUACAGUGUCAUUUACAACUCGGUUAAAUUUUUAGGCAUAGUUUUCAGUGUGGGAACUUGUUCUACGGGCUAGAUUACCCAGGGAAUAAGACAUAUCAUAAAAUCACGUGACAACUUCGGACACCAGGUGUGAAAUCAUAUACUAUUACCUGCUACUCUAAUAAAUGAUACCCCGAUCUAAGAAGGUCACAAAUACUUUUUAUUUUCUUUCAAAAUGAAAAUAAGACAAAAAGGGGGUGGUUUAAUUUUUUUUAUGAAAAACUACAUUAACCUACCUGCGAGAGAGUACCACGUUGGAAACUUGACAAGGCGGACUGGUCCUUGUUUGAGAAUCUCUGUCAAGCGGAACUUCAGUCAAAGAUGUUUGAGACUGUACAAGAUCCAAUUUUAACUUUUAAUACAGUUUUAACGUCAAUUGCUGACAGAACUAUUCCUAAGACCUCGGCAAAUCCGAAACAUCCCAGCAAACCAUGGUUUGAUGACGCUUGUGAUCAAGCCAUAGGUGACCGUAAAAAAUCUGAAAGACGGUUCAAUCAACAACCAACGACGGAAAACUUGAGUAAUUUCCGUAUUUUUCGCGCUAAGGCACGGCGGACAUGUAGGCAAGCCCGACG